rnacentral:rRNA from 1 species
GACGAACGCUGGCGGCGUGCUUAACACAUGCAAGUCGAGCGGUAAGGCCCUUUCGGGGGUACGACGAGCGGCGAACGGGUGAGUAACACGUGGGUGACCUGCCCUCAGCUCUGGGAGUAAGCCUGGGAAACGUGGGUCUAAUACCGGAUAUGACUCCAUGACGCAUGUUGUGGGGUGGAAAGCCUUGUGCGGCUGAGGAUGGGCCCGCGGCCUAUCAGCUUGUUGGUGGGGUGANGGCCUACCAAGGCGACGACGGGUAGCCGGCCUGAGAGGGCGACCGGCCACACUGGGACUGAGACACGGCCCAGACUCCUACGGGAGGCGAGCAGUGGGGAAGUCUUGCGCAAUGGGCGAAAGCCUGACGCAGCGACGCCGCGUGAGGGAUGACGGCCUCGGUGU